rnacentral:lncRNA from 1 species
AUGGCGUGGAGCGGCGAGGGGAGGGACUGGGCCGCGGCCGCCUCGGCGGCGGAGGGAGGAGCGCGGCUGCGGGCGGGCGGCGAGCGAGGCGCUCAAAGUCAGCCUCGCAGACAUUGCAGCAGAGCCCCGAACUCGGGAGGCGGCGGCGGAGGAGGAGGCGGCGGCGGCGGCCGAGGCGGAGGGACUACCCGGCCCCGCGCUCGCCCGCGCGCCCGCCCGUGGCCUCGCGUCGGCCGCUGCGCCCGGCAGCGCUGCCGAUCGGAGGGAAGAGCUCGCCGGGGCGCUGAGGGAGGACGGGGCAGCGGGGCGCCUUCGCGGAGUGAGCCGGCCGGAGCCCCGGCGCUCGGAGCCGCGGCGGCCUCUGAGAGUGCUUGGAUUGUGAGCGAUUUAAGAACUCUGUUCUCAGGACCCAUUACUUUAAUACUGGGGAGAAACACAUCCAGAAGGAAGUUUGGAGUACUGGUGUUUAAUUGUCAUGAUGAUGUUAUCAAGGACCCACAAGGUAUUUUCCAUAUUUCUUCUCUACCAUCGUGAGUGUUUUGACAAUGUCACUCUUCAUGGUUCCAAGAGAGCUAUUUUUCCAUGCUAGUUUUUUUUUUAGGUGGUGGAAAAACCUUUUCUAGUAAACUUCAUUGGCCAUAAUUGCAUCAUAUGCCUGUGCAUACACCCCUUUUUGGCAGAAUAAACAUUGCUUGUCUUAAGCA